GGACGAAGCAGAUGUGCGUGAACGAAAUCAGAGACGUCUCAUUCAAUAUGUGUGUCGCAUCGCACGUCCCCAACUCUGGAAGGUUGUUUACAAAUGUGUCAAGUAAAACCUUCUUGCGCUGACGAGAGGCGUUACUUGUUCGACUAAAUGUCUAGCUGAACCGACAAUCCACUUAAAUUACAGAAACCCAGAUUACGCAGCAGCUUUACACAGAUGUGGAGGCGCCUAUCUUCACUUUCUCCUUUGAUCUCUGCCUCAACUUCAUCCUCUCUUAACCAGGCAGCUUAUAAAUUCAAGAUAUGGGAAUCAUUUACCUCAAAUAUACCAGCUCAGGCAAAAGGUGGAAUGUUCUCAAAAGGAAAAACUCCAUUCAUAACUUUUGUCUUGGGUGGCCCUGGUAGUGGAAAGGGUACUCAAUGUACUAAGAUUGUUAACAAUUAUGGAUUCAAGCAUAUAAGUGCGGGAGAAUUGUUGAGGAGAGAAAUAGCUUCUAACAGUGAAUAUGGCACCAUGAUUCUCAGCACAAUUAAGGAUGGAAAAAUUGUUCCAUCAGAAGUAACUGUCAAAUUGAUCCAAAAGGAGAUGGAAUCAAGUGAUAGCCAUAGAUUCCUCAUCGAUGGUUUUCCACGAACUGAGGAGAAUCGCAUUGCUUUUGAGAAAAUUAUUGGAGUAGAACCAGAUCUUGUUCUUUUCUUUGAUUGUCCUCAAGAGGAGAUGGUGAAAAGAGUUCUGAACCGUAAUGAGGGUCGAGUUGAUGAUAACAUUGAUACAAUCAAGAAACGACUCAUGGUAUUUGAAGCAUUAAAUCUUCCUGUUAUCAAUUACUAUUCACAGAGGGGAAAACUUUAUACGAUCAACGCUGUAGGUACAGUAGAUGAAAUAUUUGAGCAAGUUCGCCCAGUUUUUGCUGCAGGGAAAGACCUUCUUUGGGGUAGGGAAGCUUUGCAAAAUAUUCUCCCAACUUGGAUAGAACCGAACUUAAUCGACCGACUUCCCGUUCAGUUGUUGGACGUUGUUCAUUGGCAGCAUUGCUCCACCCAUCUUUGUUUGUCGGAUGUUCAUCUUUGCUACUUUUUUUCCCUGUUGUUUGUCAUUCAAAUGCCUUCUGAAUCUUUGGUUUGUUGCACUCUCUACUUUUACCGUCAUAGCCUAGCUUGGGUUCAUUGUUCGUCAUCAUAUCUAGCGCUCGAUUGCUAGCUAUUCAUCAAUGUCUAGCCCUCUUGCAACGUCAACAGGCCUUGGAUCGCAUUGCUCUCACUAAGGUUGUUUUGUUUGUGCUCACCAUCUAUUUGUAGAAAUUCCCUAGAGGAAUCGUUGCAUGGCCGCCAGAGGGAGAAGAGAUGCAUUGUCGGAGAAGGAGGAACUACUAGGAGAGAGAGACCAUUAGAGUAAGUAGUCAGUGAUUAAAAUUAAACCUUUAAGGGAAAAAUAUUAUUUUUUAAAACUUGAUUUAUAGGAAAAUUAUUAGUUUUUAAGGUUUAAGAAGGACAAUGAUAUAAAAUUUUUAAACUAACGGAUUUGGUUACCUUUAAUGUUUAUAUACGGAUAUAUGAGUUUUUGAAAGAUAAAAUGUGAGAACUUUAUAAAAAAAAGUUUACUUUGGGUGGAAACUAGUCAUUUGGCCUUUUUUAAAAAUUAUUUAAAACAUAAAUUAACUCACAAAUCCAUUUAGAUGGGUUCAUCCAGUCGGCCUUUUUCGGUAACUAAUCCAAGAACAAUGAGUAAUCAACCACCGAGCUUCAGCUCUUCCCUGAAACUCCACUGGGCUUCCAAAAGAAAGAAAAACAGAAUGCGAGGACAAACUCCACGAUUACCGCUCACAAACGAUUGCCCGAAACUAAACUUGAAGCUAUAGACAACCUAUUAAGAAAUGCAUUACCAUGGACUAUGAAAUCCAUUGAGCACGGUAUUAAGCUUCAUAUUCUAAUGCCCACGUACCCAUUAAGCAAACACGUUGGCGUUUUGGCAAAACUAGGGGGGUUACGGUUGGCCUGCAAAGAUAUUAAUGAUGAUCACCAAUUGUUCGAUCAAAUGCCAAAGCGAAAUUCACCUGCCUUUCUGUGGAAUUCGCUUAUAUCAGGAUAUGCUGAAUUGGGUCAAAUGAAGAUGCCAUGGUGCUUUACUUUCAAAUGGAGGUAGAGGGUAUUGAAUCAGACUGGUUUACAUUCACUUGUGUUUUGAAAGCUUGUGCUAGACUGGGGUCGAUUCAAGUUGGUGAGGCCGUUUUAAAUUUGGUUAUGAUGAGUUUGUGCUCAAUGCACUUGUUGAUUUUUAUGCAAAAUGUGGUCACAUUGUUAAGGCUAGAAGGGUUUUUUUACCAGACUGAUA